ACGUAGGGGGCAAGCGUUGUUCGGAAUUACUGGGCGUAAAGGGCGCGUAGGCGGCACGGCAAGUCAGGAGUGAAAGCCCUGGGCUCAACCCGGGAACUGCUUUUGAAACUGCCGAGCUAGAGUGCGGAAGGGGCAACUGGAAUUCCCAGUGUAGCGGUGAAAUGCGUAGAUAUUGGGAAGAACACCUGAGGCGAAGGCUGCAUCCUGGACCAUUACUGACGCUGAGGAGCGAAAGCCAGGGGAGCAAACGGGA
rnacentral:rRNA from 1 species